rnacentral:lncRNA from 1 species
AAAACAUGCGGGCUAAGGAUGUGAAGAUACUUGAAGCGCAAGUCAAGGAGGUCGGACGAUUGAAAUUAGCCUGGAUAUUGCAGGAUACUUUUUGUAAUCCAACUCGAGUUACUUUUCAUGUAACAACCGAUUAGAUUAGAUUCAAACCAACUUGUAACCCUAGGUCAUCAACCUAUAUAAGGCGGCCAAGGGCGCCUCCCGAAGGCAUCCGAUCUAUUCUUUGCACCCGCGCAAAGCAAUACAAACCAGC